CUAGUACUCCCUCCGUCCGGAAAUACUCGUCACAGAAAUGGAUAUAAAUGGAUGCAUCUAAAACUAAAAUACAUCUAGAUACAUCCAUUCCUUCGACAAGUAUUUCCGGACGGAGGGAGUACAUC
rnacentral:pre_miRNA from 1 species